AAGAAAAAUGGCUAGUGAAGAACAUCAAACUGUAGGAAGUCAUAUGAAUCUUCAUCUUAAUUUUUGCAAAAUUCCAAUAUAUUGCAGGUACUCAAAUCUCAUCCAGACUCAGCUCUCAUUUAAGGAAUAAACAGAGGAAACAUCCAGGCAGCAAAGUACCGUCACCUCUUUCCAUCUUGGAGCAGGAGAAGGCCAGAUGUUUUCCUUCGCUAUUUGCAGAAAUGACAUCUUGACUGGAGAUUUUUUACUUAAGAAAUAACCGUGACCCGACAAAUGCGCGCCCGACAAAUGCGCGCCCGACAAAACCAUGGCGACAAAACUGCGAUGUCGACAGCAUGCCCACAAAGGCGUGCCGACAAAAGAGCACCGACAGAAGCGCGAUUAGGGUUAAGGUAAGGGUUAGGGUAAGGGUUUAGGGUAAGGGUUAGG